GGGAUCCUAAUGUGCGCUGAAGCGACUGCAGGCAAAUUCCUGCUUGUAAAGUGUGAUAGCUGGGCGAGGUCAUCCUCCAGGAACUCGGGGGUGGAACCGUGGGUAUCGUUAGGCCUGAAUCACUCGGGCUGUAGCCCUGAGUAUUUUAGCCUCGUUGCCAAUCAUCCUUCGAAAAAAAAACAAAAACAAACAAACCGUCAAGCCUCAGCACAAGAAAUGAAAUCACGUCGGUCCAGUUCCAGAAGAGGAAUGAUGAGGCAAACGUGUUCUGCCCGCUGGAGGACGGACCCCCCCAAUAGGCCCUGGGCUCUGGAAAGGAACAGUCCAGGGUUUGGCUGCUGUCUCACGUCACCGAAAUACCAACAUAAGUUCUGCAUUUCUCCCAGAACAGAAGAAGAAAUUUGACCGUCAUAUUUCUAUAUUGUCCUUUACUUGUACUGCUCUUUUGUACAGCUUACAGUAUGAUUGUCAACCAGCUUUACUGUUUAAAUUCGUGUGGCUGCACUAACAUAUCGUGCCAAAUCCCUCGUACAAGCGUAUGUAAUAAAAUA